CACCUACGGGGGGCAGCAGUGAGGACUCUUGGUCCCUGUCCUCGAGUCUGCACCAGCCAAGUAGCGUGAAGGAUGACUGCCCUAUGGGUUGUAAACUUCUUUUAUAUGGGAAUAAAAUGUUCCACGUGUGGGAUUUUGUAUGUACUUUAUGAAUAAGGAUCGGCUAACUCCGUGCCAGCAGCCGCGGUAAUACGGAGGAUCAGAGCGUUAUCCGGAUUUAUUGGGUUUAAAGGGAGCGUAGAUGGGUUGUUAAGUCAGUUGUGAAAGUUUGCGGCUCAACCGUAAAAUUGCAGUUGAAACUGGCA
rnacentral:rRNA from 1 species